rnacentral:rRNA from 1 species
CAGCAGCCACGGUAAUACGGAGGGUGCAAGCGUUAAUCGGAAUUACUGGGCGUAAAGCGUGCGUAGGUGGUGGUUUAAGUCCGUUGUGAAAGCCCUGGGCUCAACCUGGGAAUUGCAGUGGAUACUGGGUCACUAGAGUGUGGUAGAGGAUAGUGGAAUUUCCGGUGUAGCAGUGAAAUGCGUAGAGAUCGGAAGGAACAUCUGUGGCGAAGGCGACUAUCUGGGCCAACACUGACACUGAGGCACGAAAGCGUGGGGAGCAAACAGGAUUAGAUACCCCCGUAGUCCCUGUCUCUUAUAA